AGAGUUUGAUCCUGGCUCAGGACGAACGCUGGCGGCGUGCUUAACACAUGCAAGUCGAACGGACCUUCGGGUUAGUGGCGAACGGGUGAGUAACACGUGGGUGAUCUGCCCUGCACUUUGGGAUAAGCCUGGGAAACUGGGUCUAAUACCGGAUAGGACUACGCACUGCAUGGUGUGUGGUGGAAAGCUUUUGCGGUGUGGGAUGGGCCCGCGGCCUAUCAGCUUGUUGGUGGGGUGAUGGCCUACCAAGGCGACGACGGGUAGCCGGCCUGAGAGGGUGACCGGCCACACUGGGACUGAGAUACGGCCCAGACUCCUACGGGAGGCAGCAGUGGGGAAUAUUGCACAAUGGGCGCAAGCCUGAUGCAGCGACGCCGCGUGAGGGAUGACGGCCUUCGGGUUGUAAACCUCUUUCGCCAGGGACGAAGCGCAAGUGACGGUACCUGGAGAAGAAGGACCGGCCAACUACGUGCCAGCAGCCGCGGUAAUACGUAGGGUCCGAGCGUUGUCCGGAAUUACUGGGCGUAAAGAGCUCGUAGGUGGUUUGUCGCGUUGUUCGUGAAAACUCACAGCUUAACUGUGGGCGUGCGGGCGAUACGGGCAGACUGGAGUACUGCAGGGGAGACUGGAAUUCCUGGUGUAGCGGUGGAAUGCGCAGAUAUCAGGAGGAACACCGGUGGCGAAGGCGGGUCUCUGGGCAGUAACUGACGCUGAGGAGCGAAAGCGUGGGGAGCGAACAGGAUUAGAUACCCUGGUAGUCC
rnacentral:rRNA from 1 species